CUUUCCCUCAAUACGGAUUACCAUGAGGUGGGACUGACGAAGCUCCUCUUUCACGGGUUUCUUUACUGUUUUCAGGAGUGACCAAUAUAACCUCUAUAAUAGAAGAAAAGCUGAAGAUUUCAAAAUUUUCUGAAGGGAGCCACAGACAGAGAUGUAAACUCAGAUUUUCCUUGCUGAUAUCCGUGCAGCAGAGUCAAAGCAGACCUGUCAGAAAACAUCUCUAAGUUGCUAUGAAUCUCAUAACUAGAUACACAUCAUGAGAUAACUAGAGCUUAUGGCUCUGUUUGGAUCCAGCCUCACUUGUGAAGAAUUCAGAUGACGUAAACACUCACAAAGACAUUAUAUGAUGGCAUCUAUAGAUGGACAUACACAACUGCCAAAUGUAACAUAUUGUAAUUACUGCACCAAAGCGCAACCCUACAGAUUUUCAACCCACUUAAUAUUUUUACAAAUACAAUAUAUGUUUAUAUUUGAAAAAAAUA